GCCAUCCACAUUGAGAACUGCCAUUGUGAGUGCAGGGAAGAAAAGAGAAGAGCGUGUUACACAGCCGCCUCACCCAGGUUCUGCACUAACACCCUUGAGCUCAUCCCCUGAUCCUAUGCAGGUUGAUGUGGCCCACUGACACUUGACCACCGAGGAAAGGGAGCGAAGUCAACGCAAUAACUUGUUCUUCUACUGUGGCAGGCCUGGGCAUGCACUCCCUUUCUGCCUGUCACGGACCCCAACCUGAAAAGUAUGGGGAAACAAACAAGCCCAAGUUUUCUCAGGGACCCAGCUGAGUCUACCAGGCCACUCACCGCAUCUCCAAGUUCCAGUUCAGUUGUGCAUCUCCAGAGAAACACGACAGGGGCCAUUGCAUUGGGCACUUUUUGGGGCUGUGAAUAAUAUCAUAAAUUUUGAGACAGCCCAAGGUCUGCAAUUCCUCGUCUGGCAGAAGUCACAUCAGAUGAUGUGGGAACCAUUAACAAGACCCUCUUGUCCUCAGGACUGGUUACUCAGGUGAUGGUGCCCCUGGAAGCGGUAACCCAGGUACACAAAGAAAUGCUGACAUUCACUGUGGUUAGUAUGACAUGACCCCCAUGUUCUCUGGCAAACCCUCCAAGUGCUAUCAGCAGGCCUGUCGCCAUAGCAACUUGUCUCCACAAGCCCAUUCCCAUACAGUGGUGAGUCCACUCCUGUACAUACUGGGGCUCACAGCAACUGGCUGCAGUGAACCAUUCGUCGGUAGACUACCAGGCUCUGAACAAAAUGGCAGUUUGGAACCACGGAUUUCAUUGUAGAACUCCCUGAAUCAAAUGGCCACAUGGUACAACUGACUAUCGUAGAUCAAUUGACCAAGAUAGCAGGCUUCAUUCCCUGUGACCGCGUACCUUUGGCUGAGAGCACAGAUUAGCUCCAACUUUGCAAACCAUGAUGCCAACGACACCUUUUUUUGCUAACUAUAAAGUAACCCCUGAUUUCAUCCCACACUACCAAUGGCCUCUCUGAACUUGCCAGAUAACAACCUGGUUCAAUGAAACCACCACAUUCAAGAAGAACUAAGGGGGCACCUAGAGGACACUAGGAAGAACUACAAAUAGUAUGGAUACUGCCAAUGACAGGAGGGGUCUUCUGAGCAGGGAAACUAGUUGCUGAAUGGAGGCUCUGGGCGCUGUCCAUGCCUCCUACAUCAAUGGAGCCUGCAGCUGGCCCAGCUUGGGGAACCAUGACCUCAUCCUGUCAAGCGAGAACAGCUGGUUCUCAGUGAUGCUUAGAUGGCAAAUCACACAUCUCUCACGGAGGUAGGAACUACUCACUCAUCUCAGCGAUUGCGGAUGUUGGGACAAAGAUCAAGUUCCUGAAAAAGCAUCCCCAAAGGAGGUGUAAUGAUCCUGGACUCUAUUGCCUGCAAGAAGCUUCAGACUGGAGCUCCAGCAGAUUCCCCUGAAGAACACCACCCUGUCUUUCUGUGGUCAGGGUAGGGCUCUCCGUCCAUCGUGGAGGUUAAGACCAGAUGGGAGCUGAUGGAUUGACUUUGAUAUGCCACAUCCUUGUGUGGAUGAGGGACCUACAUCACAGAGAUGGCCAGUAGCAGAUGUACCACACAUGGCCAGGAAUGGGCUACACAA